CAAAAACUUUUAAAAUGUCUGACCUGUAACGUAUCCUUUCUGGGGGUGUUGUUGUUCUGUAAAUUCCUCCACUGGCUGGAGAAACACUGCAUAAAAUUUGGCAACUAUCUAUUAAAAUCUAAAACUGAGAAUGUAGGGCAAGCAGGAUGAUCCCUACUAGAGUCUCAUUUAAUACCAAAAUGUCUAUAGUUCACAGAAUAUGAUCAUCUUAGUUCACUUAAAAUGGAUGUUCAGUAUUUUGCUACGGG
rnacentral:lncRNA from 1 species